rnacentral:rRNA from 1 species
GAUGAACGCUGGCGGCGUGCUUAACACAUGCAAGUCGAACGAAGCAUUUAGGACAGAUUACUUCGGUUUGAAGUUCUUUAUGACUGAGUGGCGGACGGGUGAGUAACGCGUGGGUAACCUGCCUUGUACUGGGGGAUAGCAGCUGGAAACGGCUGGUAAUACCGCAUAAGCGCACAAUGUUGCAUGACAUGGUGUGAAAAACUCCGGUGGUAUAAGAUGGACCCGCGUCUGAUUAGCUAGUUGGUGAGAUAGCAGCCCACCAAGGCGACGAUCAGUAGCCGACCUGAGAGGGUGACCGGCCACAUUGGGACUGGGACACGGCCCAGACUCCUACGGGAGGCAGCAGUGGGGAAUAUUGCACAAUGGAGGAAACUCUGAUGCAGCGACGCCGCGUGAGUGAAGAAGUAAUUCGUUAUGUAAAGCUCUAUCAGCAGGGAAGAUAGUGACGGUACCUGACUAAGAAGCUCCGGCUAAAUACGUG